CUUAUAACAAUGAUUGACAGGGAGCUAAGAUGGAGGCUGCUCUCUCUAUACUGACUGCCAGGUGUAAAGGGCAGAGCUUAUAAUAAUGACUGACAGGGAGCUAAGAUGGAGGUGGCUCUCUCUAUACUGACUGCCAGGUGUAAAGGGCGGAGCUUAUAACAAUGAUUGACAGGGAGCUAAGAUGGAGGUGGCUCUCUCCAUACUGACUGCCAGGUGUAAAGGGCUGAGCUUAUAACAAUGAUUGACAGGGAGCUAAGAUGGAGGCUGCUCUCUAUACUGACUGCCAGGUGUAAAGGGCGGAGCUUAUAACAAUGAUUGACAGGGAGCUAAGAUGGAGGAGGCUCUCUCUAUACUGACUGCCAGGUGUAAAGGGCGGAGUUUAUAACAAUGAUUGACAGGGAGCUAAGAUGGAGGAGGCUCUCUCUAUACUGACUGCCAGGUGUAAAGGGCGGAGCUUAUAACAAUGAUUGACAGGGAGCUAAGAUGGAGGUGGCUCUCUCUAUACUGACUGCCAGGUGUUAAGGGUGGAGCUUAUAACAAUGACUGACAAGGAGCUAAGAUGGAGGUGGCUCUCUCUAUACUGACUGCCAGGUGUAAAGGGCAGAGCUUAUAACAAUGAUUGACAGGGAGCUAAGAUGGAGGUGGCUCUCUCUAUACUGACUGACAGGUGUAAAGGGCGGAGCUUAUAACAAUGAUUGACAGGGAGCUAAGAUGGAGGGGGCUCUCUCUAUACUGACUGUCAGGUGUAAAGGGUGGAGCUUAUAACAAUGAUUGACAGGGAGCUAAGAUGGAGGCGGCUCUCUCUAUACUGACUGCCAGGUGUAAAGGGCGGAGCUUAUAACAAUGAUUGACAGGGAGCUAAGAUGGAGGUGGCUCUCUAUACUGACUGCCAGGUGUAAAGGGCGGAGCUUAUAACAAUGAUUGACAGGGAGCUAAGAUGGAGGUGGCUCUCUCUAUACUGACUGCCAGGUGUAAAGGGCGGAGCUUAUAACAAUGAUUGACAGGGAGCUAAGAUGGAGGUGGCUCUCUCUAUACUGACUGCCAGGUGUAAAGGGCGGAGCUUAUAACAAUGAUUGACAGGGAGCUAAGAUGGAGG